CAACCCUCAAGCUCCGGCUUGGUGUUGGGGAUCGGCAGCCCGGCUUCGCGCCGACGCCGUCCCCCAAAUGCAGUGGCGGUCACGCUGUAGCUUCCUAUGCGUAGUAGCACACCUCGCACUGGAGAGCAGCGCGGCCACGACCGUAAAACCCCAACUUUUUGUGG
rnacentral:misc_RNA from 1 species